UUCCUGAUUUUCCCCCACAUCCCUCUGGGGGAAGUGAGUGAGCAGCAGAGUGGUACUGAGCUGCCUGCUGGGUUAACCACAGCAGGAAGUGUGUAGAGGUAAUCCUAUCACUGAUACAUGCUGUUAUGGAAGACAAUCAAUGCACUCCAAAACAAGCUUAAGAUCAGACAAAUCCAAAAGAGCUGCUGGAACUAGUCCAGUUUAAAGCCAUUCCCUCUUGUCCUAUCAUUCUGCCUGUGAAGAUAUACUUUGAAAGUAUAUACUGAAAGAUGAUGAAGAAUGUGGAUCUAGGCUGGAAAGAGUAAGAGGCACGUAGGACAUGACAAGGCAGGCAAGCUGCAGUUUUCUGUAAGGUUAAGGAGGAUUCGGAUAUCUCUACUUCCUUAUCUGCUCAUUCACAAUUAUUGGUUUCAGCAGAGAGGCAGUCUGACCAAAUGACAUCUGAUGUGGAAGUGCGCAUGAAGCAAAGGUGUGUCAUUGAAUUCCUCCAUGUGGAAAAAAUGGCAUCCAUUGACAUUUAUCUAUGCUUGCUGAGUGUUUAUGGAGACCAAACAGUGGAUGAGCACAGUAAAGUGACCUCCACCAAGUUGUCCGCAGUGUCCUUCCUGUGCAACAAGACUUACGACAAAUGCUAGUGUUCAAAUGGUUAUCCAGAUUGGUUAAGCAUCAACAGGU
ensembl:lncRNA